UACGUAGGGGGCAAGCGUUAUCCGGAAUUACUGGGUGUAAAGGGUGAGUAGGCGGCAUGGUAAGCCAGAUGUGAAAGCCUUGGGCUUAACCCGAGGAUUGCAUUUGGAACUAUCAAGCUAGAGUACAGGAGAGGAAAGCGGAAUUCCUAGUGUAGCGGUGAAAUGCGUAGAUAUUAGGAAGAACACCAGUGGCGAAGGCGGCUUUCUGGACUGAAACUGACGCUGAGGCACGUAAGCGUGGGGAGCGAACAGG
rnacentral:rRNA from 1 species